UACGAAGGGGCUAGCGUUGCUCGGAAUCACUGGGCGUAAAGGGUGCGUAGGCGGGUCUUUAAGUCAGGGGUGAAAUCCUGGAGCUCAACUCCAGAACUGCCUUUGAUACUGAGGAUCUUGAGUUCGGGAGAGGUGAGUGGAACUGCGAGUGUAGAGGUGAAAUUCGUAGAUAUUCGCAAAGAACACCAGUGGCGAAGGCGGCUCACUGGCCCGAUACUGACGCUGAGGCACGAAAGCGUGGGGAGCAAACAGG
rnacentral:rRNA from 1 species